AUCCAGCUAACGAGUCCCAAAUAGCAUGAAAUGCGCAUCCUGGAU
rfam:Trichobilharzia regenti genome assembly, scaffold: TRE_scaffold0003073